CUGCGAAUAUUCUCGCUGUUCUGAUUUUGUAAUAAUCAGGGCAGGCUAAACAUUCGCUAUAUUAAGACCAUGCAUGUGUCCCCAGAUCUAGUUCUUCACCUAGGUCUGGUUUUAUAAAUGCUGGUGAUAAAC
ensembl:snoRNA SNORA72 Small nucleolar RNA SNORA72